rnacentral:rRNA from 1 species
GGGGAAGCUCACCAGGGCAAGACACUAUUAGGAUUGACAGAUUGAUAGCUCUUUCUCGAUAAAGUGGGUGGUGGUGCAUGGCCGUUCUUAGUUGGUGGAGUGAUUUGUCUGGUUAAUUCCGAUAACGAACGAGACUCUGACCAAUUACUAGUGAAAUCUUUAGAAAAGAAAGUUACCGCAGUAAUGCAGUUUCAUUCGAGAUAUUACUUCGUUAAGGGGACACGCUAUUGUGAAUAGCACGAGGAAGAGCAAUAA